GACGAACGCUGGCGGCAUGCCUAAUACAUGCAAGUCGAGCGGACUUGAUGAGAAGCUUGCUUCUCAGCUAGUUAGCGGCGGACGGGUGAGUAACACGUAGGCAACCUGCCCUCAAGCUUGGGACAAAUACCGGAAACGUUAGCUAAUACCGACUACUUGUUUUCUUCGCCUGAAGGAAACUGGAAAGACUGAGUAAUCUUUCACUUGGGGGUGGGGCUGCGGCGCAUUAGCUAGUUGGUGAGGUAACGGCUCACCAAGGCGACGAUGCGUAGCCGACCUGAGAGGGGGAUCGGCCACACUGGGACUGAGACACGGCCCAGACUCCUACGGGAGGCAGCAGUAGGGAAUCUUCCGCAAUGGGCGAAAGCCUGACGGAGCAAUGCCGCGUGAGUGAUGAAGGUUUUCGGAUCGUAAAGCUCUGUUGCCAGGGAAGAACGCUUGGGAGAGUAACUGCUCCCAAGGUGACGGUACCUGAGAAGAAAGCCCCGGCUAACUACGUGCCAGCCGCCGCCGUAA
rnacentral:rRNA from 1 species